GGACGACGUAGUAGACUAUGGCUUUAUAAGGAUGUCUGUCACAUCUUAAUGAAUGAUACGGGAACAAAUCUAAUUGAAGGUGUAGUCCUGGAUUAUAUGUUUGAUCAAGGAGAAAGAUACAUGAGUUCUAAAGCCUUCUUGAAGAUGAAAGCUCUCAGAUUGCUCAUACUUCGCAAUUUAAACCUCUCCAAAGACAUUAAAUAUCUUUCCAAUGAAUUAAGGUACUUGGAAUGGCAUGGGUAUCCUUCCAAAUCUUUGCCACAAACUU
rnacentral:misc_RNA from 1 species